GAGGCAGGAAGAAUUCUGGGAUAGAGCCAGGCACGGGAGAUGCACACGGGAAGAUGUGACAAGGCGGACGCUUGGUGCCUGAGCACAGAGAAUUACUUCCGUGUAAUCAGAGAAGGUUAUUUCUGUAAGGAAAAAUAAAAACGAACAAACAGAAUCAACUGAAACUGUGGCUCCAGAACUCCCAGUAUCAGAGAAAGUCCUGUGAGGCUCCUUAGUCUGAAAUUCCUUUUCAGGGCAGUGGGACCCCUGCACUGCCUUCAUCGGCCGCCCAGGAAUAAGAAUUAAACAGAGAUAAGAACAGCUGAAGAAAAUAAGCCGCCCAACGCACCCUCAGGCCAGUAGCCAGUACCUGUUGCUGGAGAUCUCCAGAGGAAGCUAUCUGUUCUGGAGUCCCUGGUGCCAAGCACAGGGCUAGCAGUAAGAGAGAAUCUGAGAGGACACUGUAGGGAAAGGCACCCUGGGAGAGGUGGCACCUCACCUCCAGAGACCCAGCUGAGGCCCGGCAGUCUUCCUGGAACAGUAAGGGCCUUGGGGACAUGACCAUUCACCCUGGGCCAGGAGAACGCCACCUGACUAUGCCCUGAAGGGGUGUUUGUUCCACCAGCUCUCUGGUCCUGUUCCUCCUCUAUCCCUGAGGUCCCUCGGAUUCACCUGCUACCUCAUUCUCCAAGGAGGAAAGCUGUCAGUCAGCAGUGUGUGUGUGUGGGGGGGCACACAGCCAUGAGCCAGCUACAACCUUGGAAACUGAGGGGACUCUGACCCAGGAGGGGCCGUGGAACGCCCAAGAGAGCCUUCGGCACCCUCGAGUCCUGCUGGAAGAAUCCAGCGGCACAGACAGCAAGGCAAGCUUGGGGCCUGUUGGCAGUGUCACGGUAUAACAGACACAGCUAGAAAGAGAAGCAGGAGGCUGCCCACCAGGAUGGGCCCCUCCCAGCCCCAGCCUACUUUCAGAGACCAGCCACAUCUAUAAAAUUCAUUUCUUCCCCAGCCCUCCCUGGAUAAGUUCUGCGCCUCUAGGUAUUCUUGGAGCCACCUCCAUUGUGGCUGUACCAUCAUCCACUGCCGAAGACACACACACACACACACCACCACCACACACCACCCCUGCCUGGAGCCACACCUGCUGCUGAAGCCACACCCCCUGCUGGAGCCACACCCCCUGCUGGAGCCACACCCCCUGCUGGAGCCUUCAGAAACUCUUGUGGAGUAGGGUUUGGGUGGCUGCUGUAGUAGCAACCUUAGAGGUGUUCAGCUGAGUUUUGCUCACCAUGCUACCCACUGCCACCCAUCAUCCGCCUCCUGCUCACUGAGCACAUUUCGGUUCACCACACAUCUCUGGGAAGAAGGGACUAUUGUCACCAGGGCCAUUCAGCCAGGAGGGGACAGCCGAGGUUAUCUGAUCCAGGGCUGCACAGAGUUAGGGUUUCAGUAUUCCUGAAGUCCCUUAUCUCAGCCUGAGGGAACAGAGGCACCUUCUUCAAGGAGAGACUCCUCGACUAAGUCUCAGACAGCGGUUCUCAACCUUCCUAAUGCUGCAACCCUUUAAUAGAGUCCCUCAUAUAACUAUAAUCGUAUUUAUUAUAUAUUAAUGAUAUUAUAAAAUUAUGCUGUAACUGCUUCAUAACUGUAAUUUGCUACUGCUAUGAAUUAUAAUGUAAAUAUCUGAUAUGCAGAAUACCAGAUCCGUGACCCCCCAGCGGGGUCAUGACCCACAGGUUGAGAAACACAGAAGGCAGGGAGCAUGGGAGGGAACAGUGUCCUGGGAAGGCAAACAUCAUACACAAAGGCCUGGAGGUGAGACGCAGAAGGCAGGUGACUGAGCUGCAGCGGUGGCUGGGCUCAGAGGAGGAUGCAGGAAAAGGCUGGAGGGCAGUGGGCACAAGGAACAAAGAGGUCACAGCACUGGCUCCAUCCUCAGGUGGCACAACAGCUCGGUCAGACAGGAAAACCAAGGUUCCGAGAAGAGCCAGCUCUUUCUCUCUGAUGUCAUCUAUCCAAGGAGCAAUGAAGUGGGGCCUGGUGUCUUGGUUAACUGCACCCCACAGCCAAAUGUGUGCUACAUCACAAGCCAGGACCUGUAGCCAAACUGUCAUCAUUCAUAAGGCCACCACCAGGCAAGCUCUGGAAUCCCUGUGGCCUGGCCAGGACCAACAACCAGUGGGCCUGAAGCCUGGGAGGCUGGGCUAUAGCGACUUGUCACUAAGUAAGAUGGAAGGAUGGCAGCAGAGAGCUAAGGCAAGGGAGAAGCAGGUGAGUACAGAGAGGGUGUUUUCUGAUCCAAUCACCCACGAAACAGUCCAGCACUCCAGGAGCUGGGGCAGUCGGCGGUGGGGAGGAGAGUCUCACACAUCUCAGGAUGAGAAAUGGAGGCCUGGGGGGACCUGCGCAGUCUCCGUGGCUGCAUGCCUGAAUGCACAUUGAAGCAAUUUUACUUAAACACACUGCUCCUUACCCCCUCUGAGCUUCUACAAGGUGGAGGUGGCUCAGUCCUCCCAGGCUCAACCAUCUUAUAGACUGAGAAGCACCAGCAGAGAGGCACAUGGCCUGGGCUAGCUGCCUGGCGGUCCCGAAUGCUUGACAAGUGUGAAUAGGUGCUGUGUUUGAUGGUUCAGGAGCAAAGGCUUGGCCAGAGACCAGAAUCCCCACCUCUGCUCCCAGACGCCAGAAAGCAACAGGAAACCCAGGCCUACGUGAGCCCACAGGCUGGAGUCCCACCCAACUUCCCCUGGCCGGAGCCCUAGGGCAACAGACCCUUCCUCCGCUUUGAAGGCACACUGGGAACUGAAGCUCCCAUAAGCUUCCCUUCCCUCGCCUGCCAGCUGUGGGCCAAGAGUCCUCCCUGAAGAUAAAAGAUCAAGACCUCAGUGCGAGUUCCAGAGCCAAGGACAAGCUGUAUGACUUCAGAGUCCUGUUACCUCUCUGAACACUGGUGGUGACCUCUGUAGCGUGGGGUCUGUCCCACCUUUUAUUUGUAUUUGUUGAGACAGGGUCUCACUAUGUAGCAUCAGCUGGGCUGGAACUCACUGCGUAAACCAGGCUGCUCUCAAACUCAAAGAAAUCCUCUUGCCUCUGCCUCCCAACUGCUGGGAUUAAAGGCGCGCAGC
ensembl:antisense Lrp8os2 low density lipoprotein receptor-related protein 8, apolipoprotein e receptor, opposite strand 2